rfam:Punica granatum cultivar Dabenzi scaffold130, whole genome shotgun sequence.
UGCGAUGAUGAUGAGAUCAGAAACAUCUCGUUAAUCUGAUUUAUUUUCUUGAAAGUGAGGAAAAUCUCUCCAUCCAUUCAUUACUAUUACUGAGC